AAGUAGAUUAAGAAAAAAAUUAAUAAUAAUAAUAUUAGAGAUAGUGAGAGACAUAUUGUGAGAAAAUAUACGAGGAAUUUGGUUACUUUUUACACUUUAAUAAGGUACCAGUAUUGGAAAUGGGCAAGAGUGAGGGAAAAAAAAAAAACUUAAGAUUAAUAUACUAUAUGUUGUUAACUUAUGUUCUAUAAUAUUAGUAUCAUGUUUUAGGUUGUUUUCGCCUUGUAUUUCUAUUAUUAGGAAUACGGCAGUAAUGUCCUGUAAACUCUUUAUAUCCUAUAAUAAAUAAAGAUGUAAUAUUUGGUUCGA